GAUGCAAGUGAUGAAGAAAAGAAUAGGGACAUCAGAACUCCUUGCGAGACUGUUGACUAAUUCUUUGGGAAUCUCUCUGAUGCACC